AGAAAAGAGACAGAGAGAAGGGGGUGGUGUAAACAACAACAAAGCACACCUCCAAUCCUAAAUUACAGCAGCCUGGGCGCGGAGGUGGAGCGGGUGUCGGUUUCCACCGAGCCACCUCCUCAGCAGCCCUGGCGAGCACCCUUAAUAAUAGCUCAAGGGCAGAGUGCAGAGGAGUCCAGGACCGCCCGGGAGCCUGCUCCUCCAUUCUUAAAAUCCAGCCGGAAGGAGCAUCGACGCUGUACCAACCUUCUAUUUAAAAGAGUGAAUUGGAGCUUACACUAUUUCUUUGUUGGCGUUUUUUUUUUUUCAACUUUAAAAAAAAUGCUUUAAAAUAA
rnacentral:lncRNA from 1 species